CUAUGAAAUCACCUUUUCUGAUACAUUGGUCAUCUUUGAAGGCAAGAAUGCCUUGUCGACGGAGAGCUCCAAAGAGAAAACUAGUGAAGUUGUAGCGCGUGUCUUCAUCACGGAAGCUGACAAAUACAUCGUAUGCAUUAGAUAAAGAAGAGGUGCGAUGGAUGAUGGCGUCGGACGCUGGUACGGAAGGUCCGAUAAGGGCUGUUGGGUGAGACACGGUCAUACCGUCGGACAUGCCGGACAUGAUCCGGUCCGGUUCUUUGACAAACCGGAGGAUACGGCGGAGAAUGUUGAAGACAGGCGAAUACAUUUAUUAAGGAAAUCAGAAACUCAAUUCCUGGAACUCUUUUCCUUGAAUUUUAGAUUUGAGUGAGAAAGCGAGAGAUAGUUGUUUAAUAGGAGAAGUAAGGGAGUGGCCUGACUUUAUAGAGAAAGGAAAGAGAGGUAAAUGUAAGGAAGAGAAACAUCUUGGUCUUGUAAUGCAUCGGUAUAACAGGUCUGUGUUCAUUAGUGGAAGCAGAAAUUGCUGCGAAAAUGUAAGCAAAAGUCAAGCGGUUGAUGGUGGAAUUAACGCCUUUCAUUUUUGCGUUUUUUCGUAGAAGCUUAUGAGAAAAAUCAUUGAUUAUAAUUGUACUAUUUGCCUGCGAAAAUGCAGACAAACAAUCUAGAAAUAUAGAUUCGAAUCCUGCGGUUGGUGGUGGAAUUAUAAAGUUAACGCGUUUCUUACUGUUUGCCUGCAAAAAUGCAGGCAGUCAAUCUAAGCUUUUUUCGUAGAAGCUUUUCAGAAAAAUCAUUCUAAGAUUAAUAAAACGCGUUUCAUUUUUGCGAGUACUGUUUGGUAUUGUAUGGAUAGGUCUACUUCAUGUUCCUCACUGAUAAUUAAAAGCUGGUAAAGUUCUUCUUGAUACAGAGUUUCUUUACUUAUUUAUCUUCUUAUUCUCAAUCAAUAUUGAUUUGACAUAUAUUUUUAAUCUACUAAACUGAUAUUUUAUUUUAUUUUAUUAAAAUAUUCAUAUAUAAUAUGUGGUCAUUUAUAAUAUAUAUAAUUAAUUCUUUUCCAGAUUGGAUUUUUUCAAUCUAUUGAUUAUUAAAUAGUUAAAUCAAUAUUUUAUAUUGUAUAACAUCGGAUAUGAAAAUAGUUAUUUUAGAAUAAAAUUAAAUAUAAUUUUAGUUUCUAAAUUUUGAAUACGAAAUUAAAAUUAGUUCAUAUUUCAAAAUUUAAUAUAAGUUAAUUUAUUGUAUAAUAUAAUUAGACUAUUGAUUGUAUGAGUAUGAUAAAAUUAUUAAUACUAACACAAUCAUAUUUUGAAAUAAUUUUAAAUAAAAUAGAGAUAAGUUUGUUGAAUUUUUAUAGAGAAAUCCAUUCAAAUUUGCUAAAUUUGGAGCCAUUUCUACAAAUGUUAGAAAUUGAGAAAACAAAACCCAUACAAUUUUGUUUUUCCUUGAAAUAGUCUAGUUCUAAUCUUUAUCUAUAUAAUUUUUCUUUGUAGAAGGGGUGGAACCGACGUUUUCUUGUUCUAUCCAAAUAUUUCUUUUUAUUCUUUUUUAUGUUAUUUAUACGUUUUUUAUCACUGAAUAAUAUUUCUAUACUCAAUAUUUUGUUGUGAAAAAUGUUUCAUACAUACAUGAAACUAAUUAUUAGUAUCAUAAAAGUAUUGUAUUAUAAUAUAUGUAAAAUAUCUUUUUUGUCCCAAUUUUGGUUACGAAUAUUCGAAAUGUUCCCAUUUUAUUUUUUUUGUUCAAUAUAGUCCUAAAAAACGUAAUUAUGGUCAAUUUAGUCCUUUUUCUGUUCAAUGUAAUCCUAAAGAACGUAAUUUGUGUUCAAUUUAGUCCUUUUUACAAACUCCGUGAACCACAAACAAGGACUAAAUUGAACACAAAUUACGUUCUUUAGGACUACAUUGAACAUAAAAAGGACUAAAUUGAACAUAAUUACGUUGUUUAGGAUUAUAUUGAACAGAAAAAUAAAAUGGGGACCAGUUUGAAUAUUCGCAGGGAAAAAAAAGGUAUUUAACCUAUAAUAUAUGACACAAGUUUGAAUUCCACAUUAAACGUGUUUUCAGGUUUCAAAAUUUGAUGAUAAAUUAAUUGUUGAUUAAGUUUCAUUGAUUUUAAGUUUACCAAGACUUGAUUGGAGAAAUAAUGGAAACUACAUGAAAAAUGAACAACUCUUGAAAACUCAAUCACUUUUAUACACCAGCCAAAGAAUCAUGUCAUGUUCCUAAAUACAUUACUUUUCUUUGUGUUCCAAAAACUUGAUUAUACACAUUUCUUGCAACCUAUCUAUUAUGAUUCAUCACCUUGGUAUCACUUCAGAGACUGUUAUUUGAUUGAGAGAGUAAUGCAUAGAAGUGUUUGAUGAAGAUUCUCUUUCAAUGGCUGCUCUUCCAACAGAAAAUGCAGGGCGUGUGGGGCUGGGAAGACUCAUUGUGUCACUUGCAAGCAUAUGAACAACACUUGACAUUGUUGGUCUAUCUGCUGCAUCUUCUUGCACACACAACAGUCCAAUGUGCAUACACUUCACAAAUUCACUGUGUACACUUGAUUUUUCUAUUGAUGGAUCCAUCAAUUCCAACCCUUUGCUUUCACACCAGAGGUUCCAUGCCUAUGAUAGUAAAUGCAGAUGAUUUAGAUAGAACCACUUGAAGAAAAUGAAGAGAACAUAAGGUUAAACGAUAGAGAAAUUCUAGGAAUGAAUAAGUUUCAACCAAGAACAAUACUAUUAUUAGUACUCUUCUAAUAAUGGAUAUAUAAGGAAGCUUUAAGACUAGAAAACAGGUAAAACCAACAUAAAACUUUUGUUCUUGUGCUAGAGUAGGUGACAACAAACAUUUGGGGACUAAAAGCAGAACAUGUGCAUGUAUCAUGAACAUAUUUAAACAUAAAUGUAAGUUUGAAACAUACAUAUACGAGAAGGCUUUGGCCUCUGUCUGACUGAUAGAAUUUACAGCUCAUUUUUCCACUGAUGAUCUCUAGCAAAAGAACACCAAAGCUGAAAACAUCUGACUUCACUGAAAACAAACCUUCCAUAGCAUACUCUGGAGCCAUGUAUCCACUGCUCAAAAUCAAUGUAACAGUAAGCUUUAUAAAUCUCAAGUAAAUUCAGCAAGAGGAGAAGGCUAGAAAAUUAAUUGUGAUGCUAUGUGGCAAUUCAUAGUUACAUGUUCAUGUGAAGAUUUUGGUACACAAUUGAAAGAAGGAAAAUGGUUCAUACUAUGUUCCAACAACUCUAAUUGUGUUGGCCUGCCUCUGGUCUCCUCCAAAUGUUCUUGCCAAUCCAAAGUCUGAGAUUUUAGGAUUCAUUUCUUGAUCUAGCAAAAUGUUGCUAGCUUUCAGGUCUCUGUGAAUAACCCUUAAUCUUGAGUCUUCAUGUAGAUAUAGAAGCCCUUUAGCAAUCCCAUUUAUAAUGUUUAAUCGAUUUUUCCAAUCCAGAUGGACACCCUUCUCGGUAUCUGAAAUUCAAUUCUAAGAAAUAUGAUCACUAUAUUCAAAAACAUGUCAUUCAAAGUGAAAAAUAUGACUACAUUCACAGCAAAUAUGAACUAGGUAGCAAAAUGUUGUGUUGGUGUUUGUGCAUGAACUAACUUCUAUUAUAUGUAAUCAAACUCAGAAGUUUAUAUCGGAAUAUAUAUCAAGAUCUUCUGUCAAAUUGUUGAUUUGUUUCAAUGACGAGAAAUGAAAUAAUGAACAACUGGGUCAUUGUUUUGGAGUCAUACCAAAUAGGUGGAAAUCAAGGCUUGAAUUUGGCAUGAAUUCAUAGACUAGCAGCUUUUCAUUUUGCUCAAUGCAGCCAGCCAACAGUCUCACAAGAUUGCGAUGCUGCAAUUUGGCAAUCAAUAUUACUUCAUUCUUGAAUUCCUCCCCACCUUGAACUGAUGUUUUCGAAAGCCUUUUAACAGCAAUUUGUCUUCCAUCUGGUAAUAUACCCUAGAAUAUUUUUCAAAUUUAUAAGUAAGAAUGUUGCAAGUGAAGAAACCAAACAAGUAAACAUCAUGCCUGAUAUCCUAAUUCACUACCUUAUAGACAGGUCCAAAUCCACCUUUCCCCAGUUUUUGUUCAUCAGAAAAAUUGUUUGUACAUUUUAGAAUAGUACUCAGAGGUAUCAUAGGAAGGUCAGUGUUCAUACUCUCCUCCUUUUCUGUUUGUUCUUGUGAAAAUAUUGAAUUUAGUCCCUCCUCUUGUNUANUUUGUUUGUCUGCAAAGAUGAAAUUAUCAGACAUAAACAGGAACUNAUAGAUAGCCUUGGCUGAGAGAACACUUUUAGAGUUAUGAUAUGAUUGGAACUUUAUUUCUAUAAACACUUGCAAAAGAAGAAAAUAAGAAAUGAAAAAUCUUUUCCACAGACUAAAAUUAGCUUAUAAAUAAGUUAAACAUCAACUUUUUUUGGAGUAGUUAACAGGAGAAAGCUUUUACAAAUUAGUUUAACAUAUGUACAUAAACUAAUUAUAGUCUAUGGAAAAGCUUUAUCUCAUAUUUCUUCUUUCUAUUUUCCUCUCCUACAAGUUUUUCUGAAGAGGUUUAUCCAAUGUUCUUUAUGCUUACCUUUUUUCCUUUUCAAGCAGCAGUAGUAUAUGCUGAUAGCCAAUAGAGCUAGUACUACAAUUCCAGCUACGACAAUGAUUACUAUAAGCCACCACCUUCUGUUAUUCCCAUCUGUGGCUGCAUUAUCUAGAGAAAAUAGCAAGUUUAAUUUGUGUAAAAUGGUGAGAACUGAAAAUAUGUUUAUUUCAGGCCUUAUAAAAACUCAGGAUCAAACAAGCACAAGUUGUUGGGGAGCAAGGGGUAUGAAUUUUGAAAUCUGUGACAAGAUAAUCUUCAACAGAAGAUGUUAAUAACAACACUUUAACCAUCAAUCCAAAUUUAAGGGAAUGAAUUUUCACUGAUCAUAUAAACCGUAGCAAAUGAAUGUCUCAGAAUGAAGGUGAAAAAAAUGAACUCAUACCUUGCUGAGGUGGUGGUGCAGAAUCAGUACCAUUCAAAAAGAAAGGCUGAGUUUCAUACAUAACCAUACAACUUGGAGAAAAGAUACGCCACACCUUCUUCUCCUGACAGCAAUUGUCAACAUCCUCAAGCAUAUUGCUCAAACAUGUUCUGCAUUCCUCAGCUGUAAUGUCUCUGCUGCACUGCACCCAACCAUACCUUCUCUGAGUGCCAUUUAUGUUGAACAUAUGUGUUCCAAACUUCAAGGGUGCCUCUGACCCUAUUUGUAUCAAACCAUUCAUCAAAACCUGAGCAUCACUGUCAAACUCUCCAGCACUAGUAGAAUUCUGCGUGGCAUCAAACAUGGGAAUCCUUGGCCUAAGGGUGAGAUUGCCAAAGAAAUUCUCGUUUGAGUACCUCAGANNACAANAGNNGNNCCAGAGAAUAGCAGANGCAUUGUUGGGGCAGUGCUGCAUGAGCAAGAUACUAGAGUUUUGGACACAAGCAUUGCAAAGGCUGGUGUUCACAUCACCACGGCAAAGGUAGAGUCCAUAAACCAUGUCUUGAUUAACACCAGAAGUUCUAUUCCCAAAACCAUUGCUGGUAGCAGAAUCAGAUGAGAGGGAAGUGAACAAAUUGUUGAGGUUGGUUUGGUAAGAAGUAGAAGGAGGAGCAGAAGAUUCGUCCAAACAAGCAUAUCUAUAAUCAAGUGGUUGUUGUGAGUUGCUGCUGUUCUGAGCAGAAACAAAGCAAACAACGAGGUAUAUCAGUUUGAUGAUGAAUAACCACUGAUAGAUCAUUCUUCUUUUGCUGCAAUCACCACUGUGUAUCAUCAGCAUAAUGAUCCGAGGAGUGUUUCAGAGGCCAAGAUUUCGAAGUUAUACAUCAUCGAUUUGUCAAACGUUUGACAUUUGCUCAUUUUCAUGUUCUUGCUUGUAGCAUCAACUUUUUGACCAUGCAAAACACAAAAUGUGAAACCCCAUAUAGUAUUAGAAAAUUUCAAAAAUUGGUUAAUACUAAAUUAACUUUAUACAAAUUGUUCCGGCUUAAUUAAGUAUCAAGUUUUAUAAUUUAUGUAUUUUCAAUUGAAUUUUUUUUUAUUUUUUUUCUAUUGAGUACUUAAUAUUUUAUGUUUUUUAUUUGAGUAGGCAUCAUUUGAUUUUUAUGUGAAAUAUGUGAUAUUACUAUUAUGUAUUUUUGUUUGAUUUGAAAUGUGUUGGAUACCGAUAUAUUAUUGUUAUUAAACUAAAAAAUAGUUAUUAUUACGAUAUUACUAAAUUGUUAUAAACUAUGACGUAGAAGUUUUGAUGAUAAUGGAAACAUUCACACUGGUAAAAGUCAAAAUAAUAAAAAUCACUCUUAAUACAUUAAGAGUAAUAUUAUUGAAUAUUAAUCAUAAAAUUUUAUAUCAUUUUUACUAAUCACAAAAUUUAUAUUUUAAAAACAAAUAAAUAAAAUAAUGAUAAAAAUUUAUCUGGAAUCUAGGAUUCCAUACAAUUCUGUUUCUAAAAAACAAAAGAAAAAAUAAAUAUUUAAACUUUUUUAUUUUUUAAUUCUUAAUUUUUAAAGUAUUUGAGACUAUUAUACAUGAUAGUACCAGUAAUAUUAUUUAAUAAAAUCUUAUUCAUAUGUUUUUUUUUUGUUCAUAUUUGGAAGCGUGUUUGUAAGCAAUGAAAAAAUAGUUUAACAUUAAAAGCAAAAUCAUGGUCAACAUUGGUACCUCUGAAAAAGUUAAAACCAUGUUUGGCAUGCAAAUAAUUGAGGUAAGGGACCAUCCAAUGUCUUCAUCAUGUUUUGGUUAAGAUAUUCAUAAAUGUUGAAAGUAUAUAUGUCUUUGGAUUGAUGAUCCAAACACUUUAUAAUUUUUAAUUUUUAUUUUAUUUUAAUUUUUUUUCUGGCAGAUUAGAACUACACUGAAUCAGACAUAAAAGGAAAAUAAAUGAUGAAAAGUAUAAUUUGGCUAACAUCAAGUAAAAAUAACAAAACUUUAAGGUUGUCUCAAUUUAUAGUUUAGGAAAAAGUUUUUUUAACAACUCUUUUUUAACCAUUUUUUACAACGUACGUGACAAUUUGUGAUUGAUCCGUUUCAAAUAUUUUUUUAAAAUAAAUUCAAACAGACCAAUAAAAUUGUAACACGUGUCAUGUUAUAAAAAAGUUGUUAAAAAAAAAGUUGUUAAAAUAUGAUUUUCCAUGGUUUAAAUGGAAUUAGGAGUUAAACUUGAUUAUAAUAAAGAGUACCCAAAAGGUUUCUUUAAAAUUUAUGAGAUAGGAUAAACCAAAUGGUAGGUUGACAUGUGUCAUUCAUAUUUUUUCAAAAAAUCAUUCAAUUUACCUUUUAAAGAAAUAAGGAGAAUAAUGCAUUAGUUUGUGUGAUUAUUUGAUAACAAUGUAAAUUAAAUUUUGUUAAUAAAUUAUCUAAAAAUUAAUAAAUAUAUUUUUGUAAUUAAAUAUCCAAAUAUUAAUUAUAAAUUAUUAUUUCUAAAUUAUAAAAAAAAUAAUUAGGUUAUUUUUUAUUUAUCUGUAAGAUUUUUUUUUGUUCAUAUUUUUUUUUCAAUUUUUUCUUUUAAUUAAUCGCUAUUUUAAAUUAAAAUAAUUACAUUACUAUUUUUAUCCUUUAAAUGACUAUUAAUCUAAAUUUAGUUGUUAUAAAUUAAAACAAAUAUUUUACUAUUUUAUCCUUUUAAUAAUUACUUUUUUUAAUUCAAAUAAUUAUUUAUAAUAAAUAAUAAAAAUGUAUACAUAUUAUUUUUUUAUAAUUAUUUUAAUAAAAAUUAUUUUAAAGAGAAAAUAAAAAUUAGAAUAAAAAAAUUAACAUGUUUUUACUUGUUUGAAUAAUAUUCUUUCAAUUCAUGUAAUAAUUAUAGUUAAAAACUAAAUUUUGAGAACUCCAAAAAUUAUUUUAAUUAAAAAACAAUUUAAAUGUGAUACGAAUUUUUAUGUACAUAGUGAAUUAAAAAGGUUUAAUUAUUGAUUAAAAGUAUAAAAAUAUUUAUCAAGUUCCAAAUUAUUGUUCAAUAAUAUUUUUAAGAUUCCAAAAGUAAAAAAUUAAAAAAAAAAAUUGUAUAAACUUUUCCCAAUAUAACAUCUUAAUAGAUCUUGAAAAAAAAAACGAAUACAAUAAUGAGUCAAACUUACUAGUAAUUCAUUAAUGGCAAAUACAUCUUGGAAGGGUCUUCUAAAUAAUUAUUUUAUGUUUAAAAGGUUCAAUUUGUCAUUUUUCUAUUGAGAAUAUUUAAUUAUAUAAAUUUGACUUGCAUUAACCAAAAUCAUCAAAUUUCAUCUAAAAUAUAGAAGAAUAUCGGAAUUCAUACAUCAAAAACAUCAAAUAAAUAAAUAAUACAUGAGAGAGAAAGAAGGUGAACAAAAUAAAGAUUAAGUUUAAAGUCAAUGAAAGUUGUACAUGUGUGAAAUGAUAAACAUGUCUCUCACCUUCCAUACACAUAUAUCAAUUUUAAAAUAGCAAUAAAAAAUGUAUAUAUAAAUAUCUCUUCAUAAUAGUAUUCCCUCAUAUAGAAUAAUACAAAUCUUAUUAAUCAAUUAUUUUAAAUAUUAGUUUGCAAAUAUUAAAACAUCAUUUGCAUUAAACAAGUUGAAAAGUUUUAUAGUUCUUUAUAAAUGGUGUCAUUAUUUCAUAUUAUUAUUUUUCUUAGUGUUUAAAACAUGUAUUAUAAUUAUUUCUCAAAUUGCAAAUAUUAUGUAUUUUUUUAUGUAUGUUUUUGUGAUUGUUAUGUUUAGAAUUGUAUACAUAAAACAUGUAUUAUAAUUAUUUCUCCUUAUACUAUGUUUUCUAAAAUUAGUUGGAAGGUAGUUGAAAAUUGAAAAGGUAUUUGAGAGUUAAAAAGCUAAUUAUUAAUAAUUAAAAAACUUAUCAAUAAAAUUAUCUUAAAGCUGUAAAAUGGUAAACAAAGAUACAAAUAAUUAUUGAGUCAAAUCUUAAUAUUAAGUAAUUACAUAUUUUUAAUAAUUAUAAAUAUAACAAUAUUCAUGGUAAAAUAAAUUAAAAUUGUAUUCGUUAAUCAAUUUAGGUUUGAUUAGCAAUAAUAGAAAAAUCAAUUAACAUUAAUACCCCCAAAUACUUUUAAAAGUCUAAAUGUGGUCAUUGUCUCAUGUAAUUAAUGUGAUUAUUAAUGCGAUUAAUUAAUUUUUCAUAAAAUAAUAGCUUAAUAAUGUAGUUUGAAUUUUCAGCAUAGGACAAUAAAUUGGAAUAUGUAAAUGAUCCAUCAACAUCAUACCUCACCUUUUUUUUCCCUUAAAGUUAUUAUUUAUAAAUUCAACUGUUAAAUCAUACAAUAUAAUUUAAUUCUUAAUAGCUAUAAUACUGUAAAGGUCAACUUUAAAUCUUACUUUCAACUUUGAAAUUAAGAUAUUGGUUUGGUCAAAGAAGAGUAUAGAACUAUUUUUAAAAAAAUAUUAAUACCUCUAUUAACUAAAUAAAACUAUUUUAAUAUACACAGAAUAGAGAUUAAGCCUCUAACUACGUGAUUAAGAAACGAAGUUAUUUGUUAAUCAUAUGAGUUAUUUUUAUAAUUCUACUUCCAUCUUAAUUAAUAUUUGGGCAAUAUUGAUUUUUGUAAAUAAUCGAUUUAAAUUUUUAUUUCAUCUAAAUCUAUCCCCAAAUUUUAAGUUUAGCCUAAUUAAUAUUAAGAUGUUAUUCAUGUUGUAAAAAAAUAUCUUUAAAUUUUAAUUGACUUUCAAAAUUUAAUUUUCCAUUUUAAUAGUAGACACUCUAAACUUUAAAUUCCAUUUCAAUUCAUUCUGAAAUUUGAUUCUACUUAUAAAUAUAGAUUACAUUAAUCUGAAAUUAUAUUGCUAAGGGAAAAGAAACUUCAGCUAAUUAUUUAUCUUAUAUUUUAAUUGUUCANUAUUUUAAUUUUUGUAUAAAAAAUGCUUUCAAACAUUAAAGUAUAAGAAAAUUAUAUUAAAAAAUUAAAUAAAAUGAUUUUUAUCAUUUUAUAUUUAUAUGUUUUUAAGUCUAAANNNNNNNNNNNNNNNNNNNNNNNNNNNNNNNNNNNNNNNNNNNNNNNNNNNNNNNNNNNNNNNNNNNNNNNNNNNNNNNNNNNNNNNNNNNNNNNNNNNNNNNNNNNNNNNNNNNNNNNNNNNNNNNNNNNNNNNNNNNNNNNNNNNNNNNNNNNNNNNNNNNNNNNNNNNNNNNNNNNNNNNNNNNNNNNNNNNNNNNNNNNNNNNNNNNNNNNNNNNNNNNNNNNNNNNNNNNNNNNNNNNNNNNNNNNNNNNNNNNNNNNNNNNNNNNNNNNNNNNNNNNNNNNNNNNNNNNNNNNNNNNNNNNNNNNNNNNNNNNNNNNNNNNNNNNNNNNNNNNNNNNNNNNNNNNNNNNNNNNNNNNNNNNNNNNNNNNNNNNNNNNNNNNNNNNNNNNNNNNNNNNNNNNNNNNNNNNNNNNNNNNNNNNNNNNNNNNNNNNNNNNNNNNNNNNNNNNNNNNNNNNNNNNNNNNNNNNNNNNNNNNNNNNNNNNNNNNNNNNNNNNNNNNNNNNNNNNNNNNNNNNNNNNNNNNNNNNNNNNNNNNNNNNNNNNNNNNNNNNNNNNNNNNNNNNNNNNNNNNNNNNNNNNNNNNNNNNNNNNNNNNNNNNNNNNNNNNNNNNNNNNNNNNNNNNNNNNNNNNNNNNNNNNNNNNNNNNNNNNNNNNNNNNNNNNNNNNNNNNNNNNNNNNNNNNNNNNNNNNNNNNNNNNNNNNNNNNNNNNNNNNNNNNNNNNNNNNNNNNNNNNNNNNNNNNNNNNNNNNNNNNNNNNNNNNNNNNNNNNNNNNNNNNNNNNNNNNNNNNNUUUUGAUAUUUUUUUAACAUAUGAGAAAACAAUUUACAUAAUUAAGAAAUCAAGAAACAUUAGAAAAAAUUAAGAAAAAAAAUAAUUACAGUAAAAUGUAAAGUCUUAGCUUUUAGUGUUAUUGAGGAACCAAAUUGUAUAGUCAUUAGAAACCAAAUUGAAGGCUGAAGAGAGAGCUCCUAUUUCUUCAAACUAAGGCAGCUCUACAUUUAGGGAAUUUGAUCGCAGUGCUGCUUCUGUUUCUACUGUGCCUCUCUCUGCUUAAAUGCGGUAACUAGCCGUUUUCCUCAAUUACGGAAAUCUUGCGCUUCCGAGCUGUCAAAUUUGCACANUGCGUCAUUUUGAAGUUAAUCAGGUCUUGUUCAUUUACCCAGCGAUACUGAAAUUUCUUCACAUCCACAGUAACAAAAAAACUAUGGUAAUCCAACAAUGUCGUAAUCCUGCUCAAACUGAAACGAAAACGAUUAAUACCACGUGCGUUCAUAGAAACGUCUUGAUAAUGUAACCACAUGUGAUCUGUUCUAAAAUCCAUUGGAAUUUCUUCAUGGUCUAGACGAAAUAUUACGCAACACAGAACACCAAUGAAAUUAUUGUCAUGUGGAACGGGAGGUAGAUCAACGGUUAGGUAUUUUUCGUCCAGGUUUUCUUUGUCCAGGUAUUGUAUGUCCACGUUCACAAACUCAUUGUUGAACAAAUUCGGUAUUUGACUUCCAGGCAUAAUACUAUCAGGCAUAUGAGUUAUAGGGAAUGGCAAUUGGUAGGUGGCCUGGUACCAGCAGAGUUAUUGGUUAGUAGUUGUUCUCCUACACAAAACAAAAAUUAAAAAGCAAGAAGAAGAAGAAGAAGGAAAGAGCAUCCACACCUGAAUAAUUUGAAUUGUCCAUGAAAAACUCUUUCUAAUGCACUCUUCAAUCUCAACUAAUUCUGGGCACCCGAAUAUAUUUAGUCCUACAUUCCAAAAAUAUAUACCUUCUUCCUUAUUAAGAAAAUAACGCGAUUCAAAUAUUGAAGAUAGGAGGAAUCUCGACGAGGAAAGUUUUGAGGACAAGACACUUCCUGAAGGAAGAUCGGGCAAGUAUUUCAAUUGCUUGCAAUCCUGUAAGUUUAAAUAAUACAGUCUCCAAAGGUCCUUGAGAUUAGGCAAUGUAACAAAAUUGUUUCCCUUUAAAUUUAGCUUCUCUAAGGAACUUAACUUUCCAAUGUAAUCAGGAAUUUGAGCUAAGUUACAGAAGCUUAGAUCGAGUUCACACAAACAAGAAAGAGGAGAGGAGGGCGACAAACAGCUGAUCAAGUACUCUGUGUUCCUUGUUUCAUCUUGUAAGCAUUUACUAUCUAUUAUUGAACAACCACUUACAUCCAGAUAUUUAAGAGAAUUCAGUCCCAAUAUAGUAUUGGAUAAGAUUACUAGUUUUUUGCAGUCUCUCAAAAUCAAACCAACAAGCUUUCUCAAACUCCCAAUAGAUGGAGUGAGUUUUUGGAGCUGUAUGCAUCCUAAAAGAAUUAUCCAUUCAAGAUUUAGGGCCUCUGCUACAUCUGGCAUCUCAACUAAACUUUCGCAAAAGGAGAGAUCCAAACGCUUCAAAUUGGGUAAAGGCUACAUAAAUGGGCAAAAAAAAAAAAGAAAACAAAAUUAAUAAUGACACUUGGGUUUUAUUUAAUUUCUUUUCUCCAUAAAUUAAUCAAAGAAUAAAGGAAUUAAAAAUAAAAAGUUUGUCAUUUAUUUUCUUUAUUUUUAAAAGAAGUACACAUAAAAAAUUAAUUUACACUACCUUUGUGCCUUCCCACAGUCGUUGAAUACUGCUCCCAUAGAGUAUUAAGUCAACUAGUUUGUGUGGCUGAAAACUUUGAGGCAAACACUCAAACGGAUAUCUCCUCCAAACAAGAUAUCCUAGUUCAUUCGAAAGAUGACUCAGACUUCCCGAAAACUUCACGUACCCAACAUAAAGCAAUUUCAGGUGUUUAAUUUUUGAUAGACCAUCCGCCUUGAUUGUUUCAUAAUCUGUAAAUCAGUUGCAUGAUUCCGUAAAUUUAGAAGCAGUUUUUUAAUUGUUGAAUAGUCUAUGAUAAUAUUAGGAAGUAGCAAGUUACAUACGUGGACCGCUUUUUCUUUUCAGUUUCUUUAAUCUUAGGUGAGGCUAUAUUUUAGACAGUUUCUCAUUCAAUAAAAUACAUGAAUUUCUUCUUUCACAAUACAACCUUUACAUACCUGUAACAUCAUCCUCAAGAACUAUUGCCUCAAGGUUUCGAGUUACCUAUAACACCGCACAUUAUUAGAUGUAUGUUUUGAAGUAUUUACAAAUUCUAAAAUAAUUGCAAUCUAAAAUUUAUAAUCAAACAUGUAAAUUUUACCUCGUUCUCUGACAUAGCAUCAUGGAGAUCUUUGCAUGUCCACAACCUACUCCACUUUAUAGGCUCUUUAGGUGAUACUUCCCGAACAAUACACCUUCCCAAAUCCACUAACAAGCUAUGCAUACCUAUGGACCUCCCAUGUCUGGUAAUGAGUGAUUUAUCAAUGAGAACUUGUAUGCUAUCUUCAGGAUGAAAUCCACGGAAAUUUAGAAUUUCCUUCAAAUGUUCUUCGUGAUAAAAAUUGAAGAAGCAAGCAAUAUCCAAAAAUGUUUGUUUGUAUUUUUCUUCCAGUUGAAUAUAACUUAUGCGCAAAAUAUCCAUAAUAUUUUUACUUUUAUUUUCUUUUAGCCCUUCCAAUACACUUUUCCAUUGUGACAAACUUCGGCCAAGCAAAGAUGACCCAAUUGUUUCAAUUGCCAAGGGAUGCCCUUCAACAUGUGAUAGUAUUUCAUCUGCCAACUUUUCAUAAUCGCUCAAAAUAUAAUUAUCUUUGAAAGCAUUUCUACAAAAUAGUUGGAUAGCAUCUUCUCGUAUCAACGGUCGAACUUGAUAAAUAUCAUCCACUCCAUGUAUCUUCAAUAUUUGUUCAUCCCUAGAAACUAUGAUGAUUCUGCUCCCUUUACCUAAGCAUUCUCGCAACAAAUUGUCUCUAUUUCCGCUAAAUAUCCUCAGUUGUUGAACUUGAUCAACGUUGUCAAAAACUAUAAGUGUCUUAGCAUUGUUCAGUUUGGACUGCACCAAACAUGUUCCCUCGAUAACAUUGCAAAUCUCUACAUUUUUCUCAUUUAGAGUCUGAGAAAUUAAUUGCUUUUGUAAGCCCAACGAACGAGAAUCUACAAAUAUUUUGCUUACAUCAUCAAUAAAACAACGAUAAUUAUAUUGAUGACAAAUUCUUUCAUAUAAAGCCCGAGCAAGAGUUGUCUUUCCUAUACCACCCAUCCCACUUAUUCCGACAACUCGAACAUCGUUACGAAGGUCGAAACGCAAAAUAUUUCCUAAGUCUUGAACUCGAUCCUCUAUCCCAACUAGUUCAUCCCUUGGAAAAUUUAAAAUUUUUGGUCUCAAAUUAUUUAUUAUCUCUUGAACAAUUUUUUCAAUCUGUUCAUUCUGUGACCUGAAAAUUUAAAUGAAAUGAAGGCAAAACAUCAUGAACAGAACAUGAAAAGAGUAUAUACAUUUUUAGGAUAAAAUAUUAACGUAAAAAAUUUUAACUUAUUUUCAUUAAAUUAGUAUAUAUUUGGACUCAAUUACCUCUGUUUUUAAAUAAUGACAACGCAAAUCAUAAUUAGCAUAAAGAAAGUCUUAGAAAGCUAUAAGAUAUUGUGAUUAGUCUAUAAGCAAAAAUAGCUAAAAAGAUGCAGAAUACAAUAUAUAUAUAUAUAUAUAUAUAUAUAUAUAUAUAUNAUAAUAUUUUUACUUUUAUUUUCUUUUAGCCCUUCCAAUACACUUUUCCAUUGUGACAAACUUCGGCCAAACAAAGAUGACCCAAUUGUUUCAAUUGCCAAGGGAUGUCCUUCAACAUGUAAUAGUAUCUCACGUGCCAACUUUUCAUAAUCGCUCAGAAUGUAAUUAACUUUGAAAGCAUUUCUACAAAAUAGUUGGAUAGCAUCUUUCCAUAUCAACGGUCGAACUUGAUAAAUAUCAUCCACUCCAUGUAUCUUCAAUAUUUGUUCAUCCCUAGAAACUAUGAUGAUUCUGCUCCCUCCACCUAAGCAUUCUCGUAACAAAUUGUCUCUAUUUCCGCUAAAUAUCCUCAGUUGUUGAACUUCAUCAACGUUGUCAAAAACUAUAAGUGCUUUAGCAUUGUUCAGUUUGGACUGCACCAAACAUGUUCCCUCGAUAACAUUGCAAAUCUUUACAUUUUUCUCAUUUAGAGUCUGAGAAAUUAAUUGCUUUUGUAAACCCAAUGAAUGAGAAUCUAGAAAUAUUUUGCUUACAUCAUCAAUAAAACAUCGAUAAUUAUAUUGAUGACAAAUUCUUUCAUAUAAAGCCCGAGCAAGAGUUGUCUUUCCUAUGCCAUCCAUUCCACUUAUUCCGACAACUCGAACAUCAUUAAGGAGAUCGAAACGCAAAAUAUUUUCUAAGUCUUGAACUCGAUCCUCUAUCCCAACUAGUUCAUCCCUUGGAAGAUUUAAAAUUUUUGGACUCAAAUUAUUUAUUAUCUCUUGAACAAUUUUUUCAAUCUGUUCAUUUUGUGGCCUGAAAAUUUAAAUGAAAUGAAGACAAAAUAUCAUAACAUGAAAAAAGUAUAUACAUUUUUUAGAUAAAAUAAUAACGUAAAAAAUUUUAAGUGUCAAACUAGUAUUUUCAUUAAAUUAGUAUAUAUUUGGACUCAAUUAGCUCUGCUUUUAGAUAAGGCAUAACACAAAUCAUAAUUACCAUAAAGAAAGUCUUAGAAAGCUAUAAGAUAUUGUGAUUAGUCUAUGAGCAAAAAUAGCUAAAAAGAUGCAGAAUACAGUAUAUAUAGGCCACCGCAGUUUAAUUUGUGUAAAGCACUUCCAAAUAUCAAUAAAGCUAGAUUUGUCAUAAAAUCAAUUGAGGUUAGUAAUUAUUGAAUUGAGAGAGAAGAGUGCUCACUUAUUUCCGAUUUCCGAACCAGAGAUAUCGGCCACUUUUCUGAGAGCUUCUUUCCAUCUUUGAACUUCCUCCAUCUUCACCUUAUCUUCUCUGAAUCUAUUUUCGUGUUCUGCAAAUGCUUUCUCAUAACAUCCUUUCUGAUUGCGCACCGUCGUAGGCUCAACAUCAUAAAAGAUAGGUAUAAGAGGUCUUGCUGAAGUUUCAGAGCAAUUAAGUAUCUCUACCAGUUCACGCAAGCACCAAGUGGAAGAAGCAUAGUUCUUUGAUAAGACAACAACAAAAACUUGAGAGUCCCGAAUGGCUUGUAGAAGCUCGGGUGCUAUGAAAUCACCUUUUUUGAUACAUUGGUCAUCUUUGAAGGCAAGAAUGCCUUGUCGAUGGAGAGCUCCAAAGAGAAAACUAGUGAAGUUGUUGCGCGUGUCUUCACCACGGAAGCUGACAAAUACAUCGUAUGCAUUAGAUGAAGAAGAGGUGCGAUGGAUGAUGGCGUCGGAAGCUGGUACGGAAGGUCCGAUAGGAGCUGUUGGGUCAGACACGGUCAUGCAGUCGGACAUGCCGGACAUGAUCCGGUCCGGUUCUUUGACAAACCGGAGGAUACGGCGGAGAAUGUUGAAGACAGGCGAAUACAUCAUUAAGAAAAUCAGAAACGAAAUGUAG
rnacentral:lncRNA from 1 species